UCCGUUGUAGUCUAGUUGGUCAGGAUACUUGGCUUUCAUCCGAGAGACCGGGUUUAAGUCUCGGCAACCGAA
rnacentral:tRNA from 1 species